UACAGAGGUCUCAAGCGUUGUUCGGAUUCAUUGGGCGUAAAGGGUGCGUAGGCGGCGCGGUAAGUCGGGUGUGAAAUCUCGGAGCUUAACUCCGAAACUGCAUUCGAUACUACCGUGCUUGAGGACUGGAGAGGAGACUGGAAUUUACGGGUGUAGCGGUGAAAUGCGUAGAUAUCGUAAGGAAGACCAGUGGCGAAGGCGGGUCUCUGGACAGUUCCUGACGCUGAGGCACGAAGGCCAGGGGGAGCAAACGGG
rnacentral:rRNA from 1 species